GGGCACCGCACCGCAGCGCGUGCCAAACCCAGGGCUCACCAAGCUCGCACUUUCCGUAUCCGCGUCUCUCUGUUUUCCGUUUUUUUUUUUGUGCCGCUCUCAGCAGCGCUCUCCCGCUGGACCCCGCCGUGACAGAGCAUCGAGCGAAUUGCCUUCCGCAAGGAGGCAGCCGCUGAUCGUAACACCUUUGGUGAGAUGUGUAGGACCUUGUCGUGAACUCUCUAAAGACUGCUCCCUACAGCGCUGGUGUCAGAUCACCUUCUCUUCUGGUUUGUUGCUCGACGCUUAGUCGCCUUUCCGCCUCCCCCCUCUCUGCUCCCGCCCCUUUAGCGGGUUGAUACGCCACUGUCGCAGUUGGACUGUCCGCUGUUUUGCUUGAUAGGACGGCUGUGCCUAUGGAAGGGCUCCCGGUAAAAAAAGAGGCACACAAGGAUCUGCGGCAAGCCGUGGCGCCUGCGUCUGUACUUCUUCCCGAUUCAGCAGCUUACAACGCGGAUGCCGACAGAGAUGCCGAUGCCAUCGAGAUCGCUGACGUUGACAUCAAAGACCCCUUCCCCGCCGGAGCAGACGGCCGUGAAGUGCUCGUGGGAAUACCGGGCGUCUUGAGGGGCGGAGAAGAGAUGCCGCCAUGCAUGUCAGCGCCGUACAUGGAGGCACUGCUCAACACAGACCCCCGCAUAUCCUUUGAUGCGCUGCACAUCGGGGCCCUUCGCGCCAUCGAGGAGCGGGAGGAGAUGAACCGCCCUCACGAGGACUACAUCUCGUGGUGUAUCCCUCCCACCGAGUUUGUGGAGCACCCGGCGAACGGAAGGGUGCCCUUCUUCACGGUGCCGUUAAUGCACCCGGUGGUGCGCACUCGACCACCACUCGAUCGAGGCGAUCGCGAGGUGGAUGAGCUCCUCUCUCACCCCACCAGAGAGGCUCUGACUACUGCCAUCGGAGCCGACAUGCUGGAGCACCUACGCUUCAGCCGCAACACUGAAGUAAUGCGACGACGGCGCUCAAAACGGGCGGCAGCGGUCGGAGGCAAGGGUUAAGUUGCCAUGACGACUUGCUGAGAAACCGUCGCAGUUGUCUGUGUGCGUGCGUGUACGUGAGGGGAGGGGUGUACAUGUUGCUUGUACUUUCUGCUGUGAAGCGUUUUGCCAAGCGCUGCUAUGCAGGCGCGAAAAUGGACGAUGCCCGGAAGCCAGAAAAUGCGCGCACUCUCUGCGACGCUGCGAUGAGGUUCACGAGGGACUCUUCGAUGCUCAUGCCGAUAACUCCCUUUCCCUUCUCAUCACUGUUGCGACUCUCGCUAGCACAUCUCUCUGCUCCCCUCACACAAGUGUGCUGCAGGUUCCUUUGUCUCCCUCGCCUCGCCUUGUACUGCCCACUAACCCUCUCGUGUCGGGGAUGCGACGCUUGCCUCCGCCCGCCCUCACGCACAUGUGCGCACUAG
rnacentral:misc_RNA from 1 species